rnacentral:rRNA from 1 species
GGCGUGCUUAACACAUGCAAGUCGAACGGUGAAGCAGAGCUUGCUCUGUGGAUCAGUGGCGAACGGGUGAGUAACACGUGAGCAAUCUGCCCCUGACUCUGGGAUAAGCGCUGGAAACGGCGUCUAAUACCGGAUACGAGCUGCGACCGCAUGGUCAGUAGCUGGAAAGAAUUUCGGUCAGGGAUGAGCUCGCGGCCUAUCAGCUUGUUGGUGAGGUAAUGGCUCACCAAGGCGUCGACGGGUAGCCGGCCUGAGAGGGUGACCGGCCACACUGGGACUGAGACACGGCCCAGACUCCUACGGGAGGCAGCAGUGGGGAAUAUUGCACAAUGGGCGCAAGCCUGAUGCAGCAACGCCGCGUGAGGGAUGACGGCCUUCGGGUUGUAAACCUCUUUUAGCAGGGAAGAAGCGAAAGUGACGGUACCUGCAGAAAAAGCGCCGGCUAACUACGUGCCAGCAGCCGCGGUAAUACGUAGGGCGCAAGCGUUAUCCGGAAUUAUUGGGCGUAAAGAGCUCGUAGGCGGUCUGUCGCGUCUGCUGUGAAAACCCGAGGCUCAACCUCGGGCCUGCAGUGGGUACGGGCAGACUAGAGUGCGGUAGGGGAGAUUGGAAUUCCUGGUGUAGCGGUGGAAUGCGCAGAUAUCAGGAGGAACACCGAUGGCGAAGGCAGAUCUCUGGGCCGUAACUGACGCUGAGGAGCGAAAGGGUGGGGAGCAAACAGGCUUAGAUACCCUGGUAGUCCACCCCGUAAACGUUGGGAACUAGUUGUGGGGUCCAUUCCACGGAUUCCGUGACGCAGCUAACGCAUUAAGUUCCCCGCCUGGGGAGUACGGCCGCAAGGCUAAAACUCAAAGGAAUUGACGGGGACCCGCACAAGCGGCGGAGCAUGCGGAUUAAUUCGAUGCAACGCGAAGAACCUUACCAAGGCUUGACAUAUAGAGGAAACGUCUGGAAAC